GAACGCUGGCGGCGUGCUUAACACAUGCAAGUCGAACGAAGCACUUUAUUUGAUUUCCUUCGGGACUGAUUAUUUUGUGACUGAGUGGCGGACGGGUGAGUAACGCGUGGGUAACCUGCCUUGUACAGGGGGAUAACAGUUGGAAACGGCUGCUAAUACCGCAUAAGCGCACAGCAUCGCAUGAUGCAGUGUGAAAAACUCCGGUGGUAUAAGAUGGACCCGCGUUGGAUUAGCUAGUUGGUGAGGUAACGGCCCACCAAGGCGACGAUCCAUAGCCGACCUGAGAGGGUGACCGGCCACAUUGGGACUGAGACACGGCCCAAACUCCUACGGGAGGCAGCAGUGGGGAAUAUUGCACAAUGGGCGAAAGCCUGAUGCAGCGACGCCGCGUGAGCGAAGAAGUAUUUCGGUAUGUAAAGCUCUAUCAGCAGGGAAGAUAAUGACGGUACCUGACUAAGAAGCACCGGCUAAAUACGUG
rnacentral:rRNA from 1 species